GUACGUAGGGGGCUAGCGUUAUCCGGAUUUACUGGGCGUAAAGGGUGCGUAGGUGGUUUCUUAAGUCAGGAGUGAAAGGCUACGGCUUAACCGUAGUAAGCUCUUGAAACUGGGAAACUUGAGUGCAGGAGAGGAAAGUGGAAUUCCUAGUGUAGCGGUGAAAUGCGUAGAUAUUAGGAGGAACACCAGUAGCGAAGGCGGCUUUCUGGACUGUAACUGACACUGAGGCGCGAAAGCGUGGGGAGC
rnacentral:rRNA from 1 species